rnacentral:rRNA from 1 species
UAGGGAAUUUUCGUCAAUGGGGGGAACCCUGAACGAGCAAUGCCGCGUGUGUGAAGAAGGUCUUCGGAUCGUAAAGCACUGUUGUAAGUGAAGAAUGCCAUAUAGAGGAAAUGCUAUGUGGGUGACGGUAGCUUACCAGAAAGCCGCGGCUAACUACGUGCCAGCAGCCGCGGUAAUACGUAGGUGGCAAGCGUUAUCCGGAAAUCAUUGGGCGUAAAGGGUGCGUAGGUGGCACGAUAAGUCUGAAGUAAAAGGCAACAGCUCAACUGUUGUAUGCUUUGGAAACUGUCGAGCUAGAGUGCAGAAGAGGGCGAUGGAAUUCCAUGUGUAGCGGUAAAAUGCGUAGAUAUAUGGAGGAACACCAGUGGCGAAGGCGGUCGCCUGGUCUGUAACUGACACUGAUGCACGAAAGCGUGGGGAGCAAAUAGGAUUAGAUACC